UCUUAGUUAAUGAAAAAAACCAAUUAAAACUAUUAAUUAAAAAAUAAAUAACUCUCAACAUUUUGCCUGUAUGAACCCACCAUCAUUAAAUAUUUGUUUUUGAUUUAAAUUAUAAAAUAUAUCGUUACAUUUUUGCCCUUUUAAAAAAUUUUAAAUGCUAAAAAUCAUUUGAAAAUGUUUUACUUUUAACACGUCAACACUAACUUGCCACAUGUGCAAUUCAUUAUGAAGUGACAACUUCAAUUGAAUUAAAGUGAAAAAAAUUAAUAAUCUAAUAAUCUAAUUGAAAAAAUUGAAAGAUGACUAAAGAUCAAUAGUUCAAAGUAAUAAUUUAUAUUUAAACUCAAU
rnacentral:lncRNA from 1 species